UCCUACGGGAGGCAGCAGUGGGGAAUAUUGGACAAUGGGCGAAAGCCUGAUCCAGCCAUGCCGCGUGUGUGAAGAAGGUCUUCGGAUUGUAAAGCACUUUAAGUUGGGAGGAAGGGCAGUAAGUUAAUACCUGCUGUAUGACGUACCAACAGAAAGGA
rnacentral:rRNA from 1 species